rnacentral:rRNA from 1 species
GACGAACGCUGGCGGCGUGCUUAACACAUGCAAGUCGAACGGAAAGGCCCUGCUUUUGUGGGGUGCUCGAGUGGCGAACGGGUGAGUAACACGUGAGUAACCUGCCCUUGACUUUGGGAUAACUUCAGGAAACUGGGGCUAAUACCGGAUAGGAGCUCCUGCUGCAUGGUGGGGGUCGGAAAGUUUCGGCGGUUGGGGAUGGACUCGCGGCUUAUCAGCUUGUUGGUGGGGUAGUGGCUUACCAAGGCUUUGACGGGUAGCCGGCCUGAGAGGGUGACCGGCCACAUUGGGACUGAGAUACGGCCCAGACUCCUACGGGAGGCAGCAGUGGGGAAUAUUGCACAAUGGGCGGAAGCCUGAUGCAGCAACGCCGCGUGCGGGAUGACGGCCUUCGGGUUGUAAACCGCUUUCGCCUGUGACGAAGCGUGAGUGACGGUAAUGGGUAAAGAAGCACCGGCUAACUACGUGCCAGCAGCCGCGGUGAUACGUAGGGUGCGAGCGUUGUCCGGAUUUAUUGGGCGUAAAGGGCUCGUAGGUGGUUGAUCGCGUCGGAAGUGUAAUCUUGGGGCUUAACCCUGAGCGUGCUUUCGAUACGGGUUGACUUGAGGAAGGUAGGGGAGAAUGGAAUUCCUGGUGGAGCGGUGGAAUGCGCAGAUAUCAGGAGGAACACCAGUGGCGAAGGCGGUUCUCUGGGCCUUUCCUGACGCUGAGGAGCGAAAGCGUGGGGAGCGAACAGGCUUAGAUACCCUGGUAGUCCACGCUGUAAACGGUGGGUACUAGGUGUGGGGUCCAUUCCACGGGUUCCGUGCCGUAGCUAACGCUUUAAGUACCCCGCCUGGGGAGUACGGCCGCAAGGCUAAAACUCAAAGGAAUUGACGGGGCCCCGCACAAGCGGCGGAGCAUGCGGAUUAAUUCGAUGCAACGCGUAGAACCUUACCUGGGUUUGACAUGGAUCGGGAGUGCUCAGAGAUGGGUGUGCCUCUUUUGGGGUCGGUUCACAGGUGGUGCAUGGCUGUCGUCAGCUCGUGUCGUGAGAUGUUGGGUUAAGUCCCGCAACGAGCGCAACCCUUGUUCACUGUUGCCAGCACGUUAUGGUGGGGACUCAGUGGAGACCGCCGGGGUCAACUCGGAGGAAGGUGGGGAUGACGUCAAGUCAUCAUGCCCCUUAUGUCCAGGGCUUCACGCAUGCUACAAUGGCUGGUACAGAGAGUGGCGAGCCUGUGAGGGUGAGCGAAUCUCGGAAAGCCGGUCUCAGUUCGGAUUGGGGUCUGCAACUCGACCUCAUGAAGUCGGAGUCGCUAGUAAUCGCAGAUCAGCAACGCUGCGGUGAAUACGUUCCCGGG